CAGCAGCCGCGGUAAUACAGAGGGUGCGAGCGUUAAUCGGAUUUACUGGGCGUAAAGCGUGCGUAGGCGGCUUCUUAAGUCGGAUGUGAAAUCCCUGAGCUUAACUUAGGAAUUGCAUUCGAUACUGGGAAGAUAGAGUAUGGGAGAGGAUGGUAGAAUUCCAGGUGUAGCGGUGAAAUGCGUAGAGAUCUGGAGGAAUACCGAUGGCGAAGGCAGCCAUCUGGCCUAAUACUGACGCUGAGGUACGAAAGCAUGGGGAGCAAACAGGAUUAGAUACCCCCGUAGUCCCUGUCUCUUAUAC
rnacentral:rRNA from 1 species